UACGGAGGGUGCAAGCGUUAUCCGGAUUUACUGGGUUUAAAGGGUGUGUAGGCGGACUUUUAAGUCCGUGGUGAAAUCUCCGGGCUCAACCCGGAAACUGCCAUGGAUACUAUUUGUCUUGAAUAUUGUUGAGGUGGGCGGAACGGGUCAUGUAGCGGUGAAAUGCAUAGAUAUGACCCGGAACACCGAUUGCGAAGGCAGCUUACUAAAGUAUGAUUGACGCUGAGGCACGAAAAGCCGGGUGGGAUCAAACAGA
rnacentral:rRNA from 1 species